AUAGAGAGCAAAGGAAGGGGUGCUUCCAAAGGUUGUGUGCACUAGGGAGACAGAGAGAAAAGAAAGGAGAGGAGGUUGGGGGCGGAGAAGGGACGACGAGGCGGCGGCGGAGAAAGAGGCGUUUAUGUGACGCACGGCGGCGGACACGGGCACGGGAGAAGUAGAGGGCAGGGCUCGAGGUGGAGGAGGUCGGAGUAUAGGGGACUAAAAGAGCUAAACCUAGAGCCCUCGUGUGCCCUCCCUCAGGGGCUCGCCACCGUCGCAGUCUAGGGAGGCAGAGCGCCCCGUCCCGGAGGGCAGGCACGGUGCUACUGCGGCCGUACCUCCGAGCCCGUGCCCGUCGGUGGCGCCACAGCCCACGCGGCCGCUCCAGAGACCCCUGGCGCGUCAUUCCCUGACCGCGUCGAAGACUAGCAACCAAGGCCGCUACGGUUCGGCUUCUAGACUCAGCGGCUCGGCGUUCAUCGUCGACCUGUAGGUAGGCGGCCGGGGCUGUCGCUCGAGGCCGGCAGGUGGCGGGGCUCGAGGUAGGCAGACGACGGGGGAUGGGGUAGGCGGACGGGGCAUCAGCGUCGGCACCUAUCGGGGUAGUCGGCGUUGGAAGUCGUCGGUGCGUGUUUGGAAGACUUCUGUUUAAGAUCCCUACCUCCCCGACGGCUUUAGGUGGAGCUCCGUCUCCCCAUCCGUCUUCCUACCGCUCGCAAGGUGAGCUGCCGCUCGGUACCCACUACCGCUAGCGUUGCGUUUCAAAAGGCUAGACGGACAGAAGUUCCCGCACCUCGCUGCCUCCAACAGAGGGAGGAAGGUGUGCCAGCGUUGUAGCCCUCUCCUAAGUCGGGGGCACACCAAGACGUGGUUCAAAGACAGUUCUUACCUUAGAUGCUCAAGACCUUGACCAAACUACUAUCCUGUACGACCUUCGUAAACCACCAUACAAUGACUUUUUACACGGGCUUUAUAAACUAGCCAGAUGAUUCAACCAUUUGCGAGACUUGUAGGUUCACAACCACCUCUGGCAAACGCACAAUGACGAGGUUAAUAGAGUCGUUUACGAAGGGCCCGAUGAAUGGAGAACUGUUUCCAACAUAAAGUGUCUUCGUACAUAAGAGUCAAAGAGUGUCAUCGGUCUCACAUAGCGAAAAAAUAGACCAUUAAGACAAGAGUAAUUACAAUUACAAAGGCAUGCUUCGUUUCCCGUGACCACGACCUACCUACGGUCGUCGAUAAGACCGUUACCAUUUAACGUGAACUAAAUAUCUACAAAAGUAAAAGUAUACGGUGCCAGAUUCACCUUUAUAUUUAUGAAAAGCUACUUCGAUCCCUACGGUAAUUCAUCGAAAUCGAAAUGGAUAGAAACCCACCCUUGUAAUGUGAGAAGUUGUUGCUUUCUCUCCCGCUCUCCACUAGGAAGACGAGAAAUGAACACUUAGAGAUAAAGAAUGAUCGAGCCCCUUGAACGUGGGUUGUUUAAUUACCUACUAGAACGUUUGGAGUAGUUCAUAUAAUCAUCAAUUUGACACUUAAACUUUUGUUUUUUUAACAUGUAAACAAGCACAACUUAAAUCUACACAAGAACCCGUUAUUAACUACCAUCUAUUAUGUACUACCCCCUACCGGAAGUAACGAUGUUAAUGAAAAGGAUAGGGAGGAAUCAAAGAACCUACAUAUAAUCAAAAACAAACGGGGAAAUAAAAAUCCCCUUCAAAAGAAUGACGGUGUCGAACCAACAAGAUUGUACUGUUUUACAACCUAAAUUAUAGAACGAUUUAUGACCUAUGAUCGAGUAAAAUGAAGUCGAGUAUUCCUUUCCAGACAUACGUUUCGCACAGUACCCUGCCAUACGACCUUAUUUGUGUAUAUCGGUCAAGUACAAAUGGGAAAAGAAAUGUGUAUACUAACUCUGAUCGUUUAAGUGUAUAUGUUUAUACAAAGAUCUCGUUCCUACUCUUCGUGAGGUAUUUGUUGGUGUUAACUACCCUACUGCCUUGAAAUCCAAAAGUGGUCUUAGUUCGUAGUCAAGUUACCCUUGACCUUACUACUUUUGUGAACAGCACGGAGUCUCACACCGCGGCUUCUCUUCCUGCUCGUCAGUCACCACAGAAGCAGAAGCGGCUAACACGACACGCAUCUACGCCUUCUGGCCGUUGGCUGCCGUUAUACAAGUACACCGAAGUUCGUAUCCAAUAAGUACCUCUAUACGGUGUUAACGGUGGACUCCGGUAAUACUUAACACCACCCUACCGUGUUUGUUCUUCUCUACCAUAGUCCACUGAAUCACUAUCAAAACGAAACCCUCAUAAUUCUUCUCACUGUGCAUAACACCAAUUUCAGGCGUUUCUAUACAAUCGAAAAUAAAACUUAACUACCAACACGAGACCGUAGGUGGAACAUUGUGAAAUAUCUGGAAGACCAAACGAGACAAACGAUACGAUACGAUAUACGGACUUGUAAAAUUACUACAUAAAGACAAUUCA
rnacentral:rRNA from 1 species